ACUUGACACACCUUCUUAAAUGUGUUGGUGACUGGAAAAAGACUUUGAGACUUUGCAUUUUCUUUCAGCCUGUUCUACUGUUUUUGUUCAGACUGAUCAUUUAUUAGGCUGAACUGUCACUUCUUCCAUCUGAGUGCAGCAAAGCGACUUGGAGAUUCAUGAGGGAUUUGUGAGACAUGGAGUCUGCUUAUAGAUGUUUGCCCUUUUAUCCUGCACAGACUACAGCAAUCUGACGUCUUCUCUUCAAAUGUACUGACUGAGAAAAUGCCACUUCACCUCGUUGCUCCAGAUGAGUUUAAUGGCUGUCCAUUUUUGCAUGGUUUGGCUCAUAUGCUCUUGGAUCUUCGGUAACGCUGAUCCUGUGGGCAAUGCUCUUAGCCGCUGAAGGAGGAGUGUUUCUGCCGUGACUCUGAGAUGCCAGUCUCAGCAGCGAAAGGAGGAACAGAGAUGAGUAGAGAGACAGAGAGAUGGUGAAGAGGAGUGGGAGUAGAGGGUCCAUUGCCCAUUAAUCGUUUGUUUGAGUUUCUGCUCUGGUGAGCAUGUUAUGUCUCCAUUAGCAGGGGUUUGUUUCCUCCUCCUGCCCGCCUCUUGGCAGCAGGGGGCUCUCACACAUCCUAUGCGACUGUUCACUGCUGUCUGUUGCCAUGCAGACUGUCUGAUGAGUGUGUGUGCGCGUGUGUUUGGGAAGAGGGUGGAGAUUAAGGUAGUGAACACGAGAUGAAGGCUAGUGCUCUUGUUAAUCCAUGUUACCAUAAUGUCAGGCAUCUAAUUUAACUAGUGUAUUUUGGAUCUUUACAUAAACUUUCUACAAACUUAAAUCGUUUGGUGUUUUUUCAGCUGCACUUUUAUUAUUGUUUUGGAAACAUUUUACCAUGAACGUGUGUGUUUUCAAUUGUAUUUUAUGUUUCAAUUCUAUUAUUAAAAUGUAGAAAAUCAUUACA